AGUGUAAAAAAAGAAAAAAAAAAGAACAAAGGAAGACCGACAUUGUGCCUUUAACACAAGGAGAAUAUUUGAGUGAGAGGAGCUCCAACCAGAUCCGCAGCACUGCUCCGAACAACCGAGACUCUCCGAUUACAAGAAAGCCGUCGAUUACUCUAGAAUAGGGAGAUGGGGGAGGAGAAGAGGCACGAGAUGAUGCAGAACUUGUUCGGAGAUCAAUCCGAGGAAGAAGAAGAGAUCGAUUCCGAGCACGAGUCCAACCCCCAACCCAAUUACAUCUCUGAUGAAGGAGAAGGGGGAGUAGAGCCUGAAGGUGAAGGCGAGGUAGAGGGGCAAGGGGAGGUAGAAAUUGAAAGUGAAGGAGAGUUGCGUGAUGCAGAACCUGAUCCUGGUGAAAGUGAGGGUGAAAGAGAUCAAAGUUCCCAAGAGGUAGAGCCUGGUGUCCACAGAGAUGAAAGUGAAGGUAGAUAUAGUGAUAGUGACGAGAAAGAAGAGUUAACAAGUCGGAGACGAAAUGUGAUUGAAAGUGGAUCAGAAGAAAAUCACUACCCUGACAAUGAAGAUGAUGAGGUUGAGCAGGCUCAAAGUCCAGGAUUCCCUGAAGAGGAGAAGGAUCAGAUUCACGUUGAAAACUCUGCUGCUGUCCGUAAUGUAUUUGGUGAUUCUGAUGACGAGGAAGUAGAAGAGUAUGCUAUUCAAAAUGCCCUGGAUCAUGAUUCUAGAAGAUUGCCCAUGGAAGAAGAAGAAGAAGAGGAAGAAGAAGGGAGCUAUGAGAAAAGUCCAAGACCAGAGGAUGUAGUGCCUGAUGAAGAUGCUCGGUACGAGUCUGAAGAGGAAAACAUUGAGACAAAGAUCAAGGAGAAACCAGUUGGUCCUCCUUUGGAAUUGGAGAUUCCAUUGCGUAUACCGCCUGCGCAUCCUGAAAAGAUGAACAUGAUUAAAGUGUCUAAUAUCAUGGGAAUUGACCCAAAACCAUUUGAUCCUAAGACAUAUGUGGAGGAAGACACAUUUGUCACAGAUGAAUCUGGAUCAAAGAAACGGAUACGCUUGGAGAACAAUAUUGUACGCUGGCGAUCUGUUAAACAUCCUGAUGGCUCGGUAUCGCGUGAAAGCAAUGCACGCUUUGUGAGAUGGUCAGAUGGCAGUUUGCAGUUAUUACUUGGUAAUGAAGUCCUAGACAUAACCGUGCAAGACGCACAGCAUGAUCAAGCGCAUCUAUUUGUUCGACACCAAAAGGGAAUCCUUCAAUCACAAGGAAGGCUAUUGAGAAAGAUGAGGUUCAUACCUUCAUCCUUGACAUCAAAUUCUCAUAGAUUGCUAACUGCUUUGGUUGACUCGAGGCAUAAAAAGGUUUACAAGGUUAAAAACUGUGUCACUGAUAUUGAUCCUGAAAGGGAAAAGGAGGAGAAGGAAAAGGCUGAAAGUCAAACUAUUAGAGCUAAUUUACUCCUUAGUCGGAAGAGGGAAAAGGUGAGUCGGAAAUAUACACCAAAUGUUGAUAGAAGGCGCCAACUUUCACCUGGGUUCUUGGAAGAUGCUCUUGAUGAGGAUGAUGAAGCAGAUUAUUAUGACUCUCGUCGUUCUCGCAACCGCUUUGAAGAAGAUCUAGAAGUGGAAGCUCGCGCAGAGAAACGGAUUUUGAAUGCUAAGAAGUCACAGGGAUCGAGAGAUAUCCCUCGGAAAUCAUCUGCACCACCUGCCAAAUCUUCCCGUCAUCCUGUGGAUUUCUCUGAUAGUGAGAGAGAGGAAUCUGAAUACGAAACUGAUGGAGAAGAAGAUGAGAGGUCUCCUCCACGUAAAAGGGUUGAGGAGCCGGAGCAGGAGUAUGAAGAAGAUGAAGAAGAGGAAGAAGACCACGAUGAGGCAGAAAGACAUGAGCUGUCAGAGGAGGAAGCUGAGGAGCCCAAGUACAGGGGUAAGGACUCUGGACACAACCUCAAACGCAAAGGGGUUGAAUCAGAUGAGGACUCUCCCCCAAGGAAGGCAGCUGCUACUCAUCGUCGAAUGGCUGUUGUUUAUGAUAGUGAUGAGGACUAAGUACUCGGUACCUGCUGUUUUCAAGUGAGUGUUUCUCUUCAACCGGAAUUCAUCCAUGUUAAUAUAUUGGUCUUCAGUUGGUUAGAGCAAGUUGAAAUAUUUCCAAAGCAAAAAGGCCUGGCGAUGAACUGGAUAAGAAGCAUUGCUAUUUAAAUCAAGAGACCAAAUGCAUUGUUUCUGGCCCUUAUUCCUUGACAAGCUUUCCUUGUAUUUCUUCUGACAUUUUCAACUUUACACUGAUUUUUAGUAAUAUUUCCUGUGUUUAUUUAAAUAGUAUGAUCUAUUUCAAAUGUGCAUAAAUAUGUCUAACAAGAAGAUAAAAAUGUUAUCAUUAGUAUUAUUAUCUGAGAAAAAUGAAUUCAAUAUUAUUAAAUAGAGCAAUUUACAAAA